rnacentral:tRNA from 1 species
GGGUAUAGCUCAGUGGUUCAGCGCAUGCUUAACAUGUAUGAGGUCCCGGGUUCAAUCCCCAGUACCUCCA